rnacentral:rRNA from 1 species
CCCUUAGAUGUUCUGGGCGGCCCGCGCACUACAAUGGCGUGUGCAGCGAGUGCCGAAGUAGAGUUUUCCGAGGUAUUCUUGCAAUGCUCGUUUUGAUGGGGAUAGACCCUUGCAACUGUUGGUUUUGAACGAGGAAUUCCUUGUAAGCAUGGUUUAUCAUCCGACGCUGAAUGCGUCCCUGCCCUUUGUACACACCGCCCGUCGCUCCUACCGAUGAGUCGUCCGGUGAAGUUCGUAGACCUCGUGAUCGCGGAUCACUGGGGGAAGCAAAAUGAACCUCGCGGUUUAGAGGAAUGAGAAGUCGUAACA